CCUACGGGAGGCAGCAGUGGGGAAUAUUGGACAAUGGGCGCAAGCCUGAUCCAGCCAUGCCGCGUGUGUGAAGAAGGCCUUCGGGUUGUAAAGCACUUUCAGCGAGGAGGAAGGGAUGUAUGUUAAUAGCAUGCAUUUUUGACGUUACUCGCAGAAGAAGCACCGGCUAACUCUGUGCCAGCAGCCGCGGUAAUACAGAGGGUGCAAGCGUUAAUCGGAAUUACUGGGCGUAAAGCGCACGUAGGCGGUUUUUUAAGUCAGAUGUGAAAGCCCCGGGCUCAACCUGGGAAUUGCAUUUGAAACUGGGGAACUAGAGUGUGUGAGAGGGGGGUAGAAUUCCAAGUGUAGCGGUGAAAUGCGUAGAGAUUUGGAGGAAUACCAGUGGCGAAGGCGGCCCCCUGGCACAACACUGACGCUCAGGUGCGAAAGCGUGGGGAGCAAACAGGAUUAGAUACCCUGGUAGUCCACGCCGUAAACGAUGUCUACUAGCUGUUCGUGUCCUUGUGAUGGGAUAGCGCAGCUAACGCACUAAGUAGACCGCCUGGGGAGUCGGUCGCAAGNUUAAAACUCAAAGGAUUGACGG
rnacentral:rRNA from 1 species